rnacentral:rRNA from 1 species
AUUGAACGCUGGCGGCAUGCCUUACACAUGCAAGUCGAACGGCAGCACGGACUUCGGUCUGGUGGCGAGUGGCGAACGGGUGAGUAAUGCAUCGGAACGUACCCGGUAGUGGGGGAUAACUACCCGAAAGGGUGGCUAAUACCGCAUAUACUGUGCGCAGGAAAGCAGGGGACCUUCGGGCCUUGUGCUACCGGAGCGGCCGAUGUCAGAUUAGGUAGUUGGUGGGGUAACGGCCUACCAAGCCUGCGAUCUGUAGCGGGUCUGAGAGGAUGAUCCGCCACACUGGGACUGAGACACGGCCCAGACUCCUACGGGAGGCAGCAGUGGGGAAUUUUGGACAAUGGGCGCAAGCCUGAUCCAGCCAUGCCGCGUGAGUGAAGAAGGCCU